AUGUUGAAUGCUGAAAGGAAGUUCAGUCUGUUCAAUGCAUCUGGGAUUGCACCAAUGAGAUUGUUGCUAGAGAAGUCUAGUACCUGCAGGUUUGUGAGAUUGCAUACAGAUAUUGGGAUCUGUCCUGUUAGGGCAUUGAAGCUCAAAUUGAGGGAAACAAGGGAUUUCAGCUGGCCGAUCUCCGAAGGGAUCUCACCAGUUAAUUUAUUGUUGCUUAGAUCCAGCACUUUGGCGAAAGCAAUGGGUAUGCGGUACUGA
rnacentral:rRNA from 1 species